AGACUGUAAUAUUUUAACAAUUAUCGUCAAAAUUUGUUUUAAAAUUUUUAAAAAAAUAAACUUCAUUAGGUAGGUACACUAAAUUUUAUUUUUUGAAACAAAAUGCAUUUGUUUUUUUCUCUGUAACCUACUCGACGUGGUUUCGCAAAACAAAUUUUCGGUUAUUUUUGGGCAAACAUAACUGUAAGUCCAAAAUACCAAAAGGGGCACAUGGUGUAAGAACCGAUGCUGCAAAUAAAAAGGUAGUACAAUUAUUGGUUCAAUAAAUAAGACCAUGACUUUUUGUGGGACCGCUUAGCACGACCGUUCGGUCGUCAGCCACCUACCGGCCACCAUGUCAAGGUAGUUCCCGUUAGAGGGGAACCUAACUGAACUUAAACCUUUAGCGAUAGGUAUUGUAGAAAAUGAAAUCACCAAAAUUCAACGUAACGACCAAUCAAAUAUUUCGAAAACACAGUUAAAACAUUAACGAACAUGAUAAUCUCAGCAGCAGAAAUAUCAACCAGUAGUUUUAUAAAUUACAAUAAUAAACCCAAGGUUCUAUGGAAUGACGAGAACAAUUAUAAAAUAUUUUUAUUUUUAUUAUAACACCAGAACACUUUGCCACUUUAGUGACUUUUGACAGAUUAAAUUUAGUUCACUCAAAUAAUAGCAUGGAAGUAUGGAAAGGACUUCAUAGGUAUUUUCAAUGAAUGAAAAGAAUGAAAGAUAUAUUGUAACUACUCAUUAUUUUGAAAAGUUUUAAUUUUUUGAAAAUACUAUUUUUCACAUACUUUUUUGUAAUUAAAAAACCAAUAUUGGUUAUUGGUAUUUUUUUACCGAUUACUAAACUACAAGACAGACUGGACUGUGAUCAG